UACAGAGGGGGCGAGCGUUGUUCGGAAUUACUGGGCGUAAAGGGCGCGUAGGCGGCCUGCUAAGUCAGACGUGAAAUCCCUCGGCUUAACCGGGGAACUGCGUCUGAUACUGGAUGGCUCGAGUUUGGGAGAGGGAUGCGGAAUUCCAGGUGUAGCGGUGAAAUGCGUAGAUAUCUGGAGGAACACCGGUGGCGAAGGCGGCAUCCUGGACCAACACUGACGCUGAGGAGCGAAAGCCAGGGGAGCAAACGGG
rnacentral:rRNA from 1 species